UACGGGGGGGGCAAGCGUUGUUCGGAAUUACUGGGCGUAAAGGGCUCGUAGGCGGCCAACUAAGUCAUACGUGAAAUCCCUCGGCUUAACCGGGGAACUGCGUCUGAUACUGGAUGGCUUGAGUUCGGGAGAGGGAUGCGGAAUUCCAGGUGUAGCGGUGAAAUGCGUAGAUAUCUGGAGGAACACCGGUGGCGAAGGCGGCAUCCUGGGCCGGCAUUGACGCUGAGGCGCGAAAGCGUGGGGAGCAGACAGG
rnacentral:rRNA from 1 species